GUGGGGAAUAUUCCGCAAUGGACGAAAGUCUGACGGAGCAACGCCGCGUGAGUGAUGAAGGUUUUCGGACUAUAAAGCUCUGUUGUUUAGGACGAAAGUGCCUGUUGCAAAUAGUUACAGGUAUUGACGGUACUGAACGAGGAAGCCACGGCUAACUACGUGCCAGCAGCCGCGGUAAUACGUAGGUGGCAAGCGUUGUCCGGAAUUAUUGGGCGUAAAGAGCAUGUAGGCGGGAAUCUAAGUCUGUUGUGAAAAUGCGGGGCUCAACCCCGUAUUGCGAUGGAAACUGGGUUUCUUGAGUGCAGGAGAGGAAAGGGGAAUUCCCAGUGUAGCGGUGAAAUGCGUAGAUAUUGGGAGGAACACCAGUGGCGAAGGCGCCUUUCUGGACUGUGUCUGACGCUGAGAUGCGAAAGCCAGGGUAGCGAACGGGAUUAGAAACCCGGGUAGUCC
rnacentral:rRNA from 1 species